GAGGCGGCAGAGUAGCCUAGUGGUUAGAGUGUAGAGGCGGCAGGGUAGUCUAGUGGUUAGAGUGUAGAGGCGACAGGGUAGUCUAGUGGUUAGAGUGUAGAGGCGGCAGGGUAGCCUAGUGGUUAGAGUGUAGAGGCGGCAGGGUAGCCUAGUGGUUAGAGUGUAGAGGCGGCAGAGUAGCCUAGUGGUUAGAGUGUAGAGGCGGCAGGGUAGCCUAGUGGUUAGAGUGUAGAGGCGGCAGGGUAGCCUAGUGGUUAGAGUGUAGAGGCGGCAGGGUAGCCUAGUGGUUAGAGUGUAGAGGCGGCAGGGUAGCCUAGUGGUUAGAGUGUAGAGGCGGCAGGGGAGCCUAGUGGUUAGAGUGUAGA